rnacentral:rRNA from 1 species
AACGCUGGCGGCAGGCCUAACACAUGCAAGUCGAGCGCGCCUUCGGGUGAGCGGCGGACGGGUUAGUAACGCGUGGGAACGUGCCCUUCUCUACGGAAUAGCCUCUGGAAACGGAGAGUAAUACCGUAUACGCCCUUUGGGGGAAAGAUUUAUCGGAGAAGGAUCGGCCCGCGUUAGAUUAGGUAGUUGGUGGGGUAACGGCCUACCAAGCCUACGAUCUAUAGCUGGUUUUAGAGGAUGGUCAGCAACACUGGGACUGAGACACGGCCCAGACUCCUACGGGAGGCAGCAGUGGGGAAUCUUAGACAAUGGGGGCAACCCUGAUCUAGCCAUGCCGCGUGAGUGAUGAAGGCCUUAGGGUCGUAAAGCUCUUUCGCCUGUGAUGAUAAUGACAGUAGCAGGUAAAGAAACCCCGGCUAACUCCGUGCCAGCAGCCGCGGUAAUACGGAGGGGGUUAGCGUUGUUCGGAAUUACUGGGCGUAAAGCGCGCGUAGGCGGAUUAGAAAGUUGGGGGUGAAAUCCCGGGGCUCAACCCCGGAACUGCCUCCAAAACUGCUAGUCUAGAGUUCGAGAGAGGUGAGUGGAAUUCCGAGUGUAGAGGUGAAAUUCGUAGAUAUUCGGAGGAACACCAGUGGCGAAGGCGGCUCACUGGCUCGAUACUGACGCUGAGGUGCGAAAGUGUGGGGAGCAAACAGGAUUAGAUACCCUGGUAGUCCACACCGUAAACGAUGAAUGCCAGUCGUCGGAUAGUAUACUAUUCGGUGACACACCUAACGGAUUAAGCAUUCCGCCUGGGG